GCGAAAGCCUGACGCAGCAACGCCGCGUGCGGGAUGAAGGCCCUCGGGUCGUAAACCGCUUUCAGCAGGGAUGAAGAUGACAGUACCUGCGGAAGAAGCCCCGGCUAAAUACGUGCCAGCAGCCGCGGUAAUACGUAUGGGGCAAGCGUUAUCCGGAUUCAUUGGGCGUAAAGCGCGCGUAGGCGGCUUGUUAAGUCAGGCGUGAAAUCCGGGGGCUCAACCCGCGGCUUGCGUCUGAAACUGGCAGGCUUGAGUCUGGUAGAGGAAAGUGGAAUUCCUGGUGUAGCGGUGAAAUGCGCAGAUAUCAGGAGGAACACCAGUGGCGAAGGCGGCUUUCUGGGCCACGACUGACGCUGAGGCGCGAAAGCUAGGGGAGCGAACAGGAUUAGAUACCCUGGUAGUCCUAGCCGUAAACGAUGGGCACUAGGUGUGGGGGGUCAUCGACUCCCUCCGUGCCGAAGCUAACGCAUUAAGUGCCCCGCCUGGGGAGUACGGCCGCAAGGCUAAAACUCAAAGGAAUGGACAAU
rnacentral:rRNA from 1 species